GUCGUCGUGGCCUAGUGGUUAAGGCGACAGACUUGAAACUCUGUUGGGCUCUGCCCGCACAGAUUCGAAUCCUGUCGGCGACG
rnacentral:tRNA from 1 species